rnacentral:lncRNA from 1 species
UUGACUUUUGACCCCCCCUUUUCAUCUUCAUUCCACGAUCAAGAGAACAGUCUUCCAGCCAGUUCCAUCCUUUUCACGAGUUUAAUUUUUUCCAGUGAUUCUUCCAGGUAAAACUUGUACUUUAUUAUUAAUUUAUUAAAAUUACUCAUCUUAUUAUGAUUUUUUUUUUAUUUGUCAUACUUGUUUAGGAUUUAUUUUCGAUAGAUAAUUAGGGAUUGAAAUAUAUAUAAUUGACACAAUUAAAUUUCUUAGCCUCUUGGACAGUAAAUUUAUAGCAGAUAUAGUAUUAUAUAAUUGGCACAAUUAAUUAAUUGUUGUUUUUUUUUGUUACUUAUAAUAUUUUUUAAAAUUUAAAAAAAAAUGAAGAACUUUCAGUUAUCUAAUUUAUUUAAGUAAUUAAAUAAUGGAUUCAAAUUUAUUAAAUAAUUGAUUCAAAUAGGGACGAUUCGUGAGUGAGGCGGGGGAAUAACCCAUAACGAAGAAAGGCAGCAAACAGAGGAAGCGGUUGAGGAGAGAAGUAUCAUUAGCCGCAUGGGAUAAUCUUUCUGGUUUCCUACCCUUUCACCUUUCCUACUCCUUAAAGGCUUUGAUUCUUAAUCUAAUUUCUUCAAUUCGUCUCCAUUUGGCAUUUGGCUGGUGAUUCAACGUAUUUAGAUUGUCCUUUUAUUUUUCUACCUUCUGUAUCUAAUCGUCUUGCUUAGUGUAAAUAGUUUUAAGGAUAAGAGUACUGAUGUCCCCUUAUUAGAUAUAUAUUUUAUUUUUUUGCCUAAAAUGAAAUUUCAUAUUCACUUUUGACUGCACUAUAUCACUUUUUCUGGAAAAAAAAAAAAAACGCAGGUAAAUAAUGAUUGGUUCUAGAUCCGCCCUUAAAAUUCAGAUUAUCCAUCCUCAUUCCUAAGUCCUAACAUCAACCAACGCCCCAUUGCAAAAAUUAACCCAGUUAUGCUUAUAUGUAAUAUUCCAAGAUUAAUAGUAUUUAGCGAGUCUAUUUGAAACCCUAAUGAGUAGGAUGAACACACAAUCAUAUUUAUAUGAAAUUUUAUGUUACUAAAACACCCACGAUUGAGUUCACUAUUUAUUAUUAAGGGCAAUCCUCCGCUAUUAUCAAGAUUAGUCACUACACCCAUGACCCAUUCAACAGGGUUAUAAGAACAAAACACACCUUAAUAAUGAUUUAAUCAUUCGGGAACAGAGUUUUCCCUGAGGAAACCAUUUUCUCUCGACACAAGUUAUGCAGCUUAACUCAGUUGCACUUUCCCUAUGAAGUUAGAGGUGAGGCUAAUCACGUAGAGAUGAUUAUCAACCUGCAAGCCUGAGGUCACAAACGACAUCAACUGUCCGGUAGGAUCAACAAGAUUUCUGAUUAUAGUGCCAUCUUCUGCAACGUGUAUUAGGUGUGCUCCGCCGCCUAAGGU